UCGGCCCGCGACCCCAG
rnacentral:rRNA from 2 species